AGCUUUAUAGUCAAUUUUUAUGAUAUUAGACUGCAAUUCUAAAGUAGUAUUAUACUAAGGCUU
rnacentral:tRNA from 2 species